rfam:Moniliophthora roreri strain MCA 2952 kmer90.96550, whole genome shotgun sequence.
GCUUCCUUGGCUCAGUUGGCUAGAGCGCAGGUCUCAUAGCAAGUCUAUGACGUAGAUAUAUGAUCUAUGUAAUCCUGAGGUCGCAAGUUCGAGCCUUGCAGGGAGCA